rnacentral:rRNA from 1 species
AGAGUUUGAUCCUGGCUCAGGAUGAACGCUAGCGGUGUGCCUAAUGCAUGCAAGUCGAACGGCAGCCUUGGAUUCGUCUGAGGUGAGAGUGGCGAACGGGUGAGUAACACGUUGGUGACCUACCCCAAAGAGGGGGACAACCAUUGGAAACGAUGGCUAAUACCCCGGAUGUAUUACUAUUUAGAGAGGUAAUACUAAAGCUCCGGCGCUUUGGGAGGGGCCUGCGGUCCAUCAGCUAGUUGGUAAGGUAAUGGCUUACCAAGGCAGAGACGGAUAGGGGGCGUGAGAGCGUGACCCCCCACACUGGUACUGAGACACGGACCAGAUACCUGCGGGUAGCAGCAGCAAGGAAUAUUGCGCAAUCGACGAAAGUCGGACGCAGCAACACCGCGUGAAGGAUGAAGGCCUUCGGGUCGUAAACUUCUUUUCUGGGGGAAGAGAAAGGACGGUACCCCAGGAAUAAGUCUCGGCUAACUACGUGCCAGCAGCCGCGGUAAAACGUAGGAGGCGAGCGUUAUCCGGAUUUAUUGGGCGUAAAGCGCAUGCAGGCGGUUUACUAAGUCGGACGUGAAAGCUCCUGGCUCAACUAGGAGAGGUUGUUCGAAACUGGAAAACUUGAGGAUGGUAGAGGUGAGUGGAAUUCCCGGUGUAGUGGUGAAAUGCGUAGAUAUCGGGAGGAACACCAGUGGCGAAGGCGGCUCACUGGGCCAUUCCUGACGCUCAGAUGCGAAAGCUAGGGGAGAGAACGGGAUUAGAAACCCCGGUAUUCCUAGCCGUAAACGAUGUCAACUAGGCGUAGGAGGUUAUUGACCCCUUCUGUGCUGUAGCUAACGCGUUAAGUUGACCGCCUGGGGACUACGGCCGCAAGGCUAAAACUCAAAGGAAUUGACGG